rnacentral:lncRNA from 1 species
CUCUUGCUUCCCUUUGUCACCAACAGAGACAGGUGUUAUAUAGGGAAGAACUAAGCCCAGUUCUAGCGCCCCACCUGGGUCAGGAGAGUUAGGGUUGGAGCGGAUAAGGACAAAAAUGCGAGCUUUCAAAACCCACCUGGCUAUCAGCAUACCUGCACACACUCCCUCCCCAUAGACAGGCGGACGUGCUGGCUGCAGUGGCUCCCUGAGGAUCACAGGUGCUAACAGCAUCGCCUUGGUAACCUUGCGGGACUGUGUGGGGAUUAACUGAGCUCUCCAAGAGGUCAGAUCAGUGUGUGCCCAGCAGUUCGCAGGAAAGGAAAGCCGUUCACUGAUGCUGGGAGAAAACGCGAGGGGGCCCUGACCCUCGUAGGAGGCCGCUACACAGGACACCCAGGAAGGGCUCCCUGCGCCUGUGUUGUUGAUGCUGUCUCCCGAGGGCAACAGCGAUGCCUGAGGACACUUUCAUCUCACACCUGAUCUUCUCUGCUUCUGGUCCAACUCCUAAACUAAAACCUCAGCAAGUGUCCUGGCAGAAAGGCCGCCUGAAGCUCCAAGGCAGGUCACCAAAGCGAUUCUCCAAGACCCUAGAUACGCCCUGUCACAAGCGAAGGGAGCCUUCCCAGUCAGGAUGCGAGGUCCUGGCUCUCGUCCGCCAGAAGUGGGGGACGUGUCCUGCAUUCCCAGCGGCUGAGCGGCUCCUCUCCUCACCAGGAUGACCAGUUGCGCAGUCAGCCAAGGCGGUGCUCACACGCGUGGGACUGAGUCCUCUAACGGUGAAGACUCCAGUUCCUCAGGAAAUACAAGCCUGCUCCUAGCUCUGUAAAUGACAGGGCACUUUUUGUUUUAAGAAAUUAAAGAUGGCAGUACUAAGAUGUACAGAUUCUGCUUAAAGUCUAGAGGCAGGUGAAACUCUCCAGCCAGGGAGCCUGG